rnacentral:rRNA from 1 species
GACGAACCGAGCGAACGUUGUUCGGAAUAACUGGGCUUAAAGGGCGCGUAGGCGGACUGCCGCGUCCGGGGUGAAAUCCCACGGCUCAACCGUGGAACGGCCCCGGAUACGGGCGGUCUCGAGGCGGGUAGGGGCAUGCGGAACUGUGGGGGGAGCGGUGAAAUGCGUUGAUAUCCACAGGAACUCCGGUGGCGAAGGCGGCAUGCUGGACCCGAUCUGACGCUGAGGCGCGAAAGCCAGGGGAGCAAACGGG